rnacentral:rRNA from 1 species
UACGGGGGGAGCAAGCGUUGUUCGGAUUUACUGGGCGUAAAGGGCGCGUAGGCGGCCAGCACAGGUCAGUUGUGAAAUCUCCGAGCUUAACUCGGAAAGGUCAACUGAUACUGUGCGGCUAGAGUGCGGAAGGGGCAACUGGAAUUCUUGGUGUAGCGGUGAAAUGCGUAGAUAUCAAGAGGAACACCUGCGGCGAAGGCGGGUUGCUGGGCCGACACUGACGCUGAGGCGCGAAAGCUAGGGGAGCGAACGGG